AGUGGACGCUGGCGGUAGGCCUAACACAUGCAAGUCGAACGGCAGCACAGUAAGAGCUUGCUCUUACGGGUGGCGAGUGGCGGACGGGUGAGGAAUACAUCGGAAUCUACUUUUUCGUGGGGGAUAACGUAGGGAAACUUACGCUAAUACCGCAUACGACCUACGGGUGAAAGCAGGGGAUCUUCGGACCUUGCGCGAUUGAAUGAGCCGAUGUCGGAUUAGCUAGUUGGCGGGGUAAAGGCCCACCAAGGCGACGAUCCGUAGCUGGUCUGAGAGGAUGAUCAGCCACACUGGAACUUAGACACGGUCCAGACGCCUACGGGAGGCAGCAGUGGGGAAUAUUGGACAAUGGGCGCAAGCCUGAUCCAGCCAUACCGCGUGGGUGAAGAAGGCCUUCGGGUUGUAAAGCCCUUUUGUUGGGAAAGAAAAGCAGCAGGUUAAUACCCCGCUGUUCUGACGGUACCCAAAGAAUAAGCACCGGCUAACUUCGUG
rnacentral:rRNA from 1 species